GUUGCAAUAGUAAUUCUGCUCAGUACGAGAGGAACCGCAGAUUCAGACAAUUGGCUCAUGCACUUGCCUGAAAAGACAAUGGUGCGAAGCUACCAUCUGUUGGAUUAUGAUUGAACGCCUCUAAAUCAGAAUCCGUGCUAGAACGCAAC
rnacentral:rRNA from 1 species